UCAAAUUGUUCUUUCUUGUUUCUUUCUUUUCCUUUGGUUUUUGCGUACUGGACGUGCUGGAUUUUUUAGUUUGUUGUUUAUUGCCUGAAUUCUAAAUUCAAGUGUUUCUUCCGUUUCAUCUUGCCGAUUGAUAUUGAGUGGUUGGGACUUCUGUUCUUUAACGUCGCACUAAUCAAGGAUUUUGUUUUCUUUUUACGUUAACUUAAUAAGAGUGACUUUCAAUGUCCUAUGAUCGGAGUUCCCAAUGAUUCUUGCUAAUUCUUUUCUCAUCAAUUGCCCCUAUUUUGUUUCCUAAUUUCUUCUCCCCAUAUCUGGAGUUUUAGUGGUACUUUUUUUCUUCAUUCUUUGGUUUUGGACGGUCGGUAGGAAUGUUAUGUUUUUUUUGUUCUUGUGCGUUUAGAAGGAAAUUUUCUUGUUGUUGAUUAAUCUGCUUCGUUUCCCUCGAAACUGCUGGCUGGAGGGCAUUUGACAACGAGGCAGGGUGCUUUGUACUUUUGGUGGGAAACUUUAGACCAACUGCAAUUCUUCUUUAUUUAUUGAGUG